rnacentral:rRNA from 1 species
GGAGGUUACGUUGGAAGGGUUUAGGCCUGGAAGAUGUAAUUCGAGUGGCGGACGGGUGAGUAACGCGUGAACAAUCUGUCCCGGACAGGGGAAUAACACUUGGAAACAGGUGCUAAUACCGCAUAAGACCACGCCCUCGCAUGGGGAGGGGUAAAAGGAGGAAUCCGGUUCGGGGUGAGUUCGCGUCCGAUUAGAUAGUUGGUGAGGUAACGGCCCACCAAGUCGACGAUCGGUAGCCGACCUGAGAGGGUGAUCGGCCACAUUGGAACUGAGAGACGGUCCAAACUCCUACGGGAGGCAGCAGUGGGGAAUAUUGGGCAAUGGGCCGAAAGCCUGACCCAGCAACGCCGCGUGAGUGAAGAAGGCUUUCGGGUUGUAAAGCUCUGUUAUAGGGGACGAAGGAAGUGACGGUACCCUAUAAGGAAGCCCCGGCUAACUACGUGCCAGCCGCCGC